UUGCUAUCUUAGUGGCGGACGGGUGAGUAACGCGUGGGUAACCUGCCUUGCACUGGGGGAUAACACUUAGAAAUAGGUGCUAAUACCGCAUAACAGUAGGAGACGCAUGUCUUUUACUUGAAAAUUCCGGUGGUGUAAGAUGGACCCGCGUCUGAUUAGCUUGUUGGCGGGGUAACGGCCCACCAAGGCAACGAUCAGUAACCGGCCUGAGAGGGUGAACGGCCACAUUGGGACUGAGACACGGCCCAAACUCCUACGGGAGGCAGCAG
rnacentral:rRNA from 1 species